rnacentral:rRNA from 1 species
GACCAUCUCUGGCGGCGUGCUUAACACAUGCAAGUCGAACGGUAAGGCUCCAGCUUGCUGGGGUACACGAGUGGCGAACGGGUGAGUAACACGUGGGUGACCUGCCCUGCACUUCGGGAUAAGCCUGGGAAACUGGGUCUAAUACCGGAUAGGACCGCACCGUGAGGGUGUGGUGGAAAGUUUUUUCGGUGUGGGAUGGGCCCGCGGCCUAUCAGCUUGUUGGUGGGGUAAUGGCCUACCAAGGCGGCGACGGGUAGCCGGCCUGAGAGGGUGGACGGCCACAUUGGGACUGAGACACGGCCCAGACUCCUACGGGAGGCAGCAGUGGGGAAUAUUGCACAAUGGGCGGAAGCCUGAUGCAGCGACGCCGCGUGGGGGAUGACGGCCUUCGGGUUGUAAACUCCUUUCACCAUCGACGAAGGGUUUCUGACGGUAGAUGGAGAAGAAGCACCGGCUAACUACGUGCCAGCAGCCGCGGUAAUACGUAGGGUGCGAGCGUUGUCCGGAAUUACUGGGCGUAAAGAGCUCGUAGGUGGUUUGUCGCGUCGUCUGUGAAAUUCCGGGGCUUAACUCCGGGCGUGCAGGCGAUACGGGCAUAACUUGAGUACUGUAGGGGAGACUGGAAUUCCUGGUGUAGCGGUGAAAUGCGCAGAUAUCAGGAGGAACACCGGUGGCGAAGGCGGGUCUCUGGGCAGUAACUGACGCUGAGGAGCGAAAGCAUGGGGAGCGAACAGGAUUAGAUACCCUGGUAGUCCAUGCCGUAAACGGUGGGCGCUAGGUGUGGGUUUCCUUCCACGGGAUCCGUGCCGUAGCUAACGCAUUAAGCGCCCCGCCUGGGGAGUACGGCCGCAAGGCUAAAACUCAAAGGAAUUGACGGGGGCCCGCACAAGCGGCGGAGCAUGUGGAUUAAUUCGAUGCAACGCGAAGAACCUUACCUGGGCUUGACAUAUACAGGAUCGCGCCAGAGAUGGUGUUUCCCUUGUGGCUUGUAUACAGGUGGUGCAUGGUUGUCGUCAGCUCGUGUCGUGAGAUGUUGGGUUAAGUCCCGCAACGAGCGCAACCCUUGUCUUAUGUUGCCAGCACGUUGUGGUGGGGACUCGUAAGAAACUGCCGGGGUUAACUCGGAGGAAGGUGGGGAUGACGUCAAAUCAUCAUGCCCCUUAUGUCCAGGGCUUCACACAUGCUACAAUGGUCGGUACAGUGGGUUGCCAGUCCGUGAGGGCGAGCUAAUCCCGCAAAGCCGGUCUCAGUUCGGAUCGGGGUCUGCAACUCGACCCCGUGAAGUCGGAGUCGCUAGUAAUCGCAGAUCAGCAACGCUGCGGUGAAUACGUUCCCGGGCCU